rnacentral:rRNA from 1 species
GAUGAACGCUGGCGGCGUGCUUAACACAUGCAAGUCGAACGGGAAAUACUUCAUUGAGACUUCGGUGGAUUUGAUUUAUUUCUAGUGGCGGACGGGUGAGUAACGCGUGGGUAACCUGCCUUAUACAGGGGGAUAACAGUCAGAAAUGGCUGCUAAUACCGCAUAAGCGCACAGAGCUGCAUGGCUCAGUGUGAAAAGCUCCGGUGGUAUAAGAUGGACCCGCGUUGGAUUAGCUGGUUGGUGGGGUAACGGCCCACCAAGGCGACGAUCCAUAGCCGGCCUGAGAGGGUGAACGGCCACAUUGGGACUGAGACACGGCCCAGACUCCUACGGGAGGCAGCAGUGGGGAAUAUUGCACAAUGGGGGAAACCCUGAUGCAGCGACGCCGCGUGAAGGAAGAAGUAUCUCGGUAUGUAAACUUCUAUCAGCAGGGAAGAUAGUGACGGUAC